UACGAGGGGGGCGAGCGUUGUUCGGAAUUAUUGGGCGUAAAGGGUGCGUAGGCGGCCUGACAAGUCUGAUGUGAAAUCCCUGGGCUCAAACCCAGGGCCUGCAUCGGAAACUGUCGGGCUUGAGUAUGGGAGAGGUGAGUGGAAUUUCCGGUGUAGCGGUGAAAUGCGUAGAUAUCGGAAGGAACACCUGUGGCGAAAGCG
rnacentral:rRNA from 1 species